rnacentral:pre_miRNA from 1 species
UUCAUAUGACGCCGUUGACUUUUAGCUUUACGUUUGAUCAUUCGUCUUAUUCAAAAAAAAUAUAUAACUAAUUAUUUUGUUAUAAUAUGAUUUAUUAUUAUAUGAAUUUUAAGUAUGUCUUGUAAUUUUGCAUAUUUGGAUAUAAAUUUUGAAUAAGACGAAUGGUUAAACGUGGACCUAAAGGUCAACGGCGUCAUAUAUA